AAAGAUUGUUAAAGUAAUGUAAUUUAGUUUAGAUAGAAUAUUUAUUUUUGGUGUAAAAGGGCUUAAUUACAA
rnacentral:tRNA from 1 species